rnacentral:rRNA from 1 species
CCAAUAGCGUAUAUUAAAGUUGUUGCAGUUAAAAAGCUCGUAGUUGAAUUUCGGGGUUCUACCGUUGGUCGGGCUUUGUCUGUACUGGCGUGUAGAAUUUCUACCUUCUGGGGAACCAUUAUGUUAUUAAUUUAGUGUAGUGGGAAACCAGGACCUUUACCUUGAAAAAUUUAGAGUGUUCAAAGCAGGCUUAUGUCUGAAUAAAUUAGCAUGGAAUAAUAGAAUAGGACGGUGGUCCUGUUUUGUUGGUUUCUGAAUCACCGUAAUGAUUAAUAGGGAUAGUUGGGGGCAUUAGUAUUCAAUUGUCAGAGGUGAAAUUCUUGGAUUUAUUGAAGACUAACUUCUGCGAAAGCAUUUGCCAAGGAUGUUUUCAUUAAUCAAGAACGAAAGUUAGGGGAUCGAAGACGAUCAGAUACCGUCGUAGUCUUAACCAUAAACUAUGCCGACUAGGGAUCGGACGAUGUUAACUUUUCUUGACUCGUUCGGCGCCUUACG